AACUUUUAACAAUGGAUCUCUAGGCUCUCAUAUCGAUGAAGAACACAGUGAAAUGUGAUAAGUAAUGUGAAUUGCAGAAUUCAGUGAAUCAUUGAAUCUUUGAACGCAUCUUGCACCUUUUGGAUAUUCCAAAAGGUACAUCUGUUUGAGUGUCAU
rnacentral:rRNA from 1 species